rnacentral:tRNA from 1 species
UGUGAGAUGGCUCAGUGGGUAAGAGCACUCGACUGCUCUUCCAAAGGUCCAGAGUUCAAAUCCCAGCAACCACAUAG